AAUAAGCGGAGGAAAAGAAACUAACAAGGAUUCCCCUAGUAACUGCGAGUGAAGCGGGAAAAGCUCAAAUUUAAAAUCUGGCGGUCUUUGGCCGUCCGAGUUGUAAUUUAGAGAAGCGUCUUCCGCGCCGGACCGUGCACAAGUCUCCUGGAAUGGAGCGUCAUAGAGGGUGAGAAUCCCGUCUUUGGCACGGAUGCCCGGUGCUUCUGUGAUGCGCUCUCGAAGAGUCGAGUUGUUUGGGAAUGCAGCUCAAAAUGGGUGGUGAACUCCAUCUAAAGCUAAAUAUUGGCGAGAGACCGAUAGCGAACAAGUACCGUGAGGGAAAGAUGAAAAGCACUUUGGAAAGAGAGUGAAACAGUACGUGAAAUUGUUGAAAGGGAAACGCUUGAAGUCAGUCGCGUCGACCGAGACUCAGCCUUGCCUCGGCUUGGUGUACUUCUCGGCCCGACGGGUCAGCGUCAAUUUUGCCCCUCGGAUAAUGGCAAGGGAAAGGUGGCACCUUUACGGGUGUGUUAUAGUCUCCUGUCGCAUGCGAGGGGUGGGAUUGAGGAACUCAGCGCGCACCUUGGUGUCGGGGCUUCGGCCCACGUCACGCGCUUAGGAUGCUGGCGUAAUGGCUUUAAACGACCCGUCUUGAAACACGGACCAAGGAGUCCAACACGCCCGCGAGUGUUCGGGUGGAAAACCCGUGCGCGUAAUGAAAGUGAAAGUUGGGACCUCUGUCGUGGAGGGCACCGACGCCCGGACCAGACCUUCUGUGACGGAUCUGCGGUAGAGCGUGUGUGUUGGGACCCGAAAGAUGGUGAACUAUGCCUGAAUAGGGUGAAGCCAGAGGAAACUCUGGUGGAGGCUCGUAGCGAUUCUGACGUGCAAAUCGAUCGUCAAAUUUGGGUAUAGGGGCGAAAGACUAAUCGAACCAUCUAGUAGCUGGUUCCUGCCGA
rnacentral:rRNA from 1 species